rnacentral:rRNA from 1 species
AAUGACAGCCAUAUUACCCUGCAGCCCAAGACUGCUUACUCACUGAAGCUUAGCAGGUCUUAGCCUGGUCAGUACUUACAAUAGUUGGUAGACCACAUGGGAAAACUAGGUUGCUGUUGGAA